rnacentral:misc_RNA from 1 species
UGUUAGGGGUCAGACAGGGGGAGUGUUUAUCUCCCGUUUUAUUCACAAUAUUUAUCAAUGAUUUGGAAGAUGUAUUUAUUAAUAGUGAUGCAGUUGGAAUAGAUGUUAAUAUGUUUAAAGUAUUUUUAUGGUUGUAUGCAGACGAUAUAGUUAUAUUUGCAAAUUCUGCUAAAGAAUUACAAAACAAUAUUAAUCUGCUACAUAAUUAUUGCAUGCUUUGGAAACUUAAGGUGAAUGUUACAAAACAAAAAUAAUGAUUUUUAAAAAAGGAGGUAGUAUUCCAAGAAACAUAGAAUUUCUAUAUGAUGGUUUUAGGAUUGAAAUUGUCAAUAAAUUUUGUUACUUAGGUAUAGUAUUUACUUGUGGAGGGUCACUGAGUACAGCCCAAAAUACUUUAGCAGGCCAAGCACAAAAGGCAAUAUUCAAAUUAGAUAAAUAUUUGUAUAAGUUUACUUAUAUAUCACCAAAACAUAAAUUGGAAUUAUUUGAUAAGCUUGUGUCACCUAUUUUAAACUAUUGCAGCGAAGUUUGGGGUUUUGUAAAUGAUUUAUCCGUCGAGAGGGUGCACAUGCAAUUUUGCAAGAAACUUUUAGGAGUUAAAAAGGUAACGCAAAAUGACUUUAUAUAUGGCGAAUUGGGUCGAGUAUCUUACAGAACAAUUCACAUGUAUAAUAUAGUAAAAUAUUGGUUAAAAAUAUUACAACUUGGUCAUAACAAAUAUGUUUUUAUUACAUACACAUUGUUAAAAAACGACUUUGAAAAUCAUGGUAGACGUAACUGGUGCUCUUUACUUAAAGAUUUACUUUGUUCGCUGGGUUUUGUAGAUGCUUGGAUAUAUCAAGGUGUAGGUAAUGUUGAUAUGUUUUUAUAUAUGGUUAAACAAAGAUUAAAUGAUCAAUUUAUACAAAAUUGGAAUUCAAGAAUAAAUAAUUCUUCUAGAGCUUUAUUGUAUAAGAGAAUUUCAAUUUUCAGAUUUCAGCCGUAUCUUGAAUAUUUUAAUGUAAAUAAAUUUUGUAUAUCUGUUACACGUUUAAGGGUAUCUUCUCAUAAAUUACAAGUAGAAGCUGGAAGAUGGGUAAGACCAGUUAGUACACCAUUAGAUGAAAGGAAAUGUAUUAUUUGUCAAAAAUUAGAAAAUGAAUACCAUUUCAUAAUAGAAUGUGAUUUGUUUAAUGAUUUAAGAAAACAAUAUAUACCAAGAAAAUACUGGAUUAGACCAAAUAUGUUUAAAUUUAUAGAACUUUUGAACUCAAAAUAAGAAAAUAAUACAAAAUUUAGGAAUAUUUAUAUUUAAUGCAUUUAAACUUAGACAGUCUACUUUGUAAUACUCUAUAUUAUUAUGAAGAAGAAGAAGAAGAAUAUUUUAUUGACUUAAAUAUUAAAUAUCAUGUUUUAUGUUAUAUUUGUAGUUAAAUAUGUGUGUUUUUUCAGGUCUUGUAUUUCGUUUCGACAAGGCUGUGAUUGAACUGAUUGUUCUAUAUAUGUUGUACUUAAAUGUAUUGUUAAACGGUCCAUAUAUAUAGUGUCUAUUUGGUUGGCUGCUUCUGUUUUGAAGCUACUUAUCUAAGCAUUAAUUAUGCUUCUGAUUGUUGAUUUGAAUAGAUCUAUGUCAAGUUGUACAACUCUUGUAAACUUGUCAAAGAUAACCUUCUCCGUUUUUGUUUUGUUUGUUUGUGUGUUUUAUGGUUGUGACUUUGUCUUUUCUGUCGCUCGUCUACAUGUUAUAUAACUCUUUAUAGUAACUUUUAUAUCGUGAUGUGCACCACUGUUUGCUGUAUGUCUUGUAUUAUGUAACAUUUAUGUCAUGAUGGGCUUUUAAGCCUAAAUGAUUUGCAAUAAAAUUGUAUUGUCUUGUCUUGUCUUGGAUAAAAUAUCUCGUACAUUCUCAAAUUACGGAGAGCAAUAACUUAAUUAAUUAGUCUAAUUAUUAGACGGCCAAUAAGGGAUCUAUUACUUGUUUUAGAUUAAAGGCGCUAAAUAAACACAAAUUUCCAAUCAGAAUCUUAUAAAAGGGUACACAUUUUGAAAUAUACUAGUAAAACAUUCCGAUAGCUGUGCAAUAUUGUAAUCGUACCCGGUCUUUGUCAUGGAUGGCGCUAUAACAGUUAGUACUGGAUGGCUCUUAGAAUUUACUACUUUAAAAACCUGAUCUCUGAAUUAUAUCAUUGGAUGGCAUUUACUACCUUGUAACCUUUACGUAUAUCUGAUGGUAGAGACGUAAUUCAAUAGAAAGAUUUAUUCGUUUCAAUUACUUUUAAUGAUGUUGAAAUAUUUGCUAUAUUAUUAUAACGAUGUUGAAUUAAAUCAUGUAAUUAAUACGUUAUUGUGUUCUGUUUUAUAUUUCAUAACCCUUGGUAGUGUCACUGUAGCUGUAAACUUCUGUAUUUCAAUGCUCUUAAUUGUUAAAUUGUUAUGAAAAUGUCACUUUGGCAAAGGAGAUGUACACUUUUGCUGUUUUUGUGUUAUUUUGACGGAAUUCACUAUUUUUGACGGCGUCCACAGGUUUCGACGGAUUUUACAGUAUUGACGGCAACCACCUUUUGACGGCAUUCGCGAAAUUGACGGCGUUUAGUAUUGUCAUGUAGAAAUCAAUAUUAUUAAUGCUCUUUUGACGGUAUACUUUGACGGCUGACGGAACCAGUGAAAUUUGACGGACUAUAGACCUAUCUCUGAUGACCUACGGGUUUCAACCACUUACCCGUUUUGACGGUGGAAAAGCUAAAAACUUGACGGCAUUCGCUUUAUUUAUAGCCUUUUGCGUACUAAUAUCCCCAGGGUGAAUAGUCCCGCCAGAAAAGUUUCAAACAUAGCGUUGUCCAAUCAGCGCGCACAGCGGCUCCAGUUAGCCAAUGAAAUCGUUACGCAUCACGAUCAUCGUCUGUAUCAAAUCGCCGUCAUGCGAGAUAGAUCCGUCAAAGGUCCAGUAAAAGCACGAUUACAAAGUCCACACAGAACGAAUCCCUAAAAGGGUUACAGCUUUGUUAUUGGCAGUCUUAGGGGAUUUAAUAUUUACUAACGGUAGUUAUGCUGCUUGUUGGUAAUUUCUCACAGCGUCUGGCAUGGAAGGAACUAGCUUCCGUCAAAAGUUUGACGAGUAAAUGUAAGCAAUCCAGAGUUUAUACGUUUGUCAACAUUAUUGAACGAGAUUGUUAUUGGCAUGAACUCUAUUGAUGAUGGGUUUUGGAGUAUGGAUGAAACAUCACGACUCGUGUCUCAAGCCCUCGACCACAUUGGGUACGGGUCACAGAUGGUUCGUUUUAGAAGAGACUGUUGGCAGCAGUAUGCGCUGCUAGAGAAUGACAAGAAAUAUCACAGGGCUGGCAGGCAUUUGAUCCUGGCCGGAAGUAAGGCAGAGGGCGUGACCGCGUUCUAUGAGACUGACAUUGAUCAUCUGUAUAUUUUAAAGGAUGUGAGUUGCGUGAAUGGUGGAGAAGGCUUAUCACAUAAUGCGUCAACCGUAUUUCAAACCGAUACACACAAUGCACCGCCUGGUUAUACCAAACUUAAGCUUGUAAAAUUAUGCCGCGACAGAAAUACAGAUUUGAACAUGAUUAAAAGUGCUAUGUUUAAGGACGCAGACGGACAAUACAUGUAUUUCAAGUACAUUUUAUAUGGCGGAACAACGGAAAGAGGUUCAGGGGAGACAAUCUAAGCUUGCUAGUCAGAAUACAGUAUCUUACGGUGAAGCCGCGGGACCUGCCCUCCCUUUAUCAACUAGCAAUUUAAAAGCUGACGUUGUCACGGGAAUCUGUUAUCUUAAACCGAAAGUGCUUCAAGCAUGGGCCAAACGCAAUCGCACCAAUGGCUGGCCGUCUAAUGACGUCAUCAAGGAUAUAGCUACGCGGGACUGCCAGGUUGUGCCUAUAGGUUGCCGCGACACCGACACACAGUUUCAAGACUGGCGUAUGUGUUUUAUUGACUCAGAACUGCAGCUAAUACAAUGUCUGAAUACUUCACAGAUCAAACACUAUAUUAUUCUCAAACAAAUUACGAGAGACAUUUUAAAACUCGCGAGUGAAGAAAUCACGUCCUUUAUUGUUAAGAAUGUAUGCUUUUGGAUGGCCGAACUACUGCCGUCUACAAUAUUUAGAGAAGAAAAGUUAAUUGAAAUGUGCAUUUUCUCUCUGACAUUUUUAAAACAUUGUAUAUCUAGUUGGAAUAAUCUGCCAUAUUACAUGAUUCCAGAGAGAAACCUUCUGGCCGGAAAGAUUUCGCAUACCGACAGACGGCAGUUAUGUAGUCUAUUAGACGAGCUAAUAAUGGAGGGUCCUCGCCUUGUAAUGAGAUGCACUAAAAUCCGGCUGGCUAUGACGGCCAUGUACAACACACCUGGGCAGCUUAGUGUCUACAGCAAGAAGAGAGAUGAACUAGAAUCUCUGAAAUUACAGCACGCGCUUGCCAACCUUGCUCGUGCCUAUGGUGAGGAUACUGAUGGCAUUUGUGACAACCUGAGAUUCAAGAUGGCAGAUAUUGUACUUCCGGAAUGGAAGUUCAUGAGACAUGUUGGCAGUGAUGUAAAGGAUAUUAUAAGCGACAGAGUUAAACAGUGGUUAUCGUAAGACAAUAUUAGUCAGUUUUUGGCGAACGACAUAUAUCAUAAUUAUUCAACGUUUAAUGUGUUCUAUGUAUUUUGUUCAAGAAAUGAUUAUUCAUUUUUCUAACUCGUGAUGAAAAUUUUAAUAGUAUGUAAAUUUUAUUGUUUUACUUGUUGCAUAAUCUUAAAAUGAUUUAUGAUUUUAAUGUAAAUAAUUAUACAGAUAAAGUAUUCUUUCAAAAACACUUUUUUCAAAAUGACAUUGUUUUUUUUCCAGAAAAAAAAAACAGUUUUAAAGACAAUUUAUAUUUAUUUUUAUAAAAGCUUUAGACUGAUUAAAGUCACUCUCAUGUUAGGUUCUGCUAGUAAACCUGUAAGAGAAGCUAAAGUUUGAUUCGGUGACCAGCGCACAAAGUAAUUUCUGUAAAUUGAUUUGAUUACAUUUUUGAUGUUUGUGCUACACCAAAUAAACGUUAUUGAUAAUAUAGUUAAGUUCUGCGUAUUUAAAAUUCUUAAUAACUACAUGCAUUAGUUGUAUUAGCUUGUAAACUUACGUUACAUACGUUGAUAUUUAUGCAUGCAUGACUUCCUUGGUUGAAAGAGGAUAGAAAGAAAAUAAAUGAAAUAUCUUUGCAACCUAAACACUUAAAUCUCACGAGUGGCAAAAAAUGCAAUUGUACGCGGAAGUAAAAUUCUUGCAAAUAUUCAGUGUCAACAUCAAUUUUGCUUGCCACCUUUUCGUUUAAAUGAACUAUAUCGUAACAAUAUACUGCUUUACAAAUUGAUUUGUCUUUGAUUCAAAGAAAGAACCAACAAAGACGUCACAAAGGUGUCUACAACCAUCUACCUUUUAAACGGUCAAAGGUGAACCGGAAUAUGUCCGUCAUAGGCUCAUAGCCCACGUCAGGCAACUUUUGACCGAGACGAAGUCAGAUUGCACAAGAGAUGUUGCGUCAAACUUUUAAACAGACGCCGUUUCAAUAGACUUUAUAAAAUAUGACGUCACAUGCGUCCGUGUCCUGCUACAUAGCCAAUGUAAUAGCAAACAAAUUUUGUAAUAAUAGUCGAACGGGACAUAGAAUGAAUCGGAUGGAGAUACGUACGAUUUAACGCCCUACGUUAAACGUCUUGGACUUUGAUGACGUUGUAAACGUGUGAUGCGUUGUUUUCACUGUUCAUUUGAUAUUCAAUAGGCUUCAGAUGAGCUAGGAUGUCUGGGCAGUUGUUGUUGUUUUUUUUUUUUUUGUUUGUUUUUUUUUUUUUUGUAUUUCAACCUUAUUUUUCAGUAAAUACCCAAUACCUAUGUUGAAUAUUGUCAUGGUGCUGAUUUAGCCUACAAUGUAAUGCCUGAAAUAACACAUGUAUAACUGUACGCUAAGUAUGUAUUUUAUGCAUAAUCAUGAAACUUUUUUUCUUAAACCUUAGUCUAUAUAUGAGAAAAGAAUGUUUCUUCAA